GUAGUUAGCUUAAUUGGUCAAAGCACUGGAUUUAGGCUCCAUAAGUAGAAAUACUUCUAAGGGUUCGACUCCCUUGCUUCCUACUACA
rnacentral:tRNA from 1 species